ACCUUCUGUGAUGCCCUGACGAGUUUCACCUGUGCCUUGUUUGCCCCCUCCCACACGCUUUUAGUUAGCUGACUUGUACCAUGACUCUUCCAAGUGUUUAGUAGUGUGUUCAGCAUCCAGCUGGUGGGAGAGUUGUUGGAACAGCUUGAUCAGCCACACCAGACUGACAGAAGGAGCAGCCCUCGGUGUCAGAGAUCCAGAGGUGACGGAGCCAGCCCUGGUGUAGGGAUGGACUAUCCAGUGUCUCACCUGGGCUAACAGUCGACCAAGCCACAAGUGGCAAGAGCACGAAAGGAUUUCCCCAGCGUCCCAGGUGCCGGAGUGUGUGUUCAGUGAAGGAUCACUAGCAGUCCUCCAGCCUCGGCCCCCGUCCUGAUGAUGUAAUUAUUUCCCAGUGGCACCUGGGAGCCACGGACGCCAUUCGGAGGCAUCGCUCACAGCCAAUCUCUGAGAGAGGUUCAGUUUGGGGAGAGGAUGUGGGGAACAGCUGGGCCCCAUCACUUCUCAUUGCGGGCCUGGGAGAGACGUAGCUGACAGAGUGAUGCACAGAGCCUGUCCUUGCUAAUGACUGCGCCAUUCUCCAUCAUUAUCACCAUCAUUAGGAAAUUAGGGGACAGAAGGUAUUUACUGUAAACCUGCCACCUCCCAAGGAGAGAUAAAUAGAAACUGAUAAAUGUGAUCGUGUGACGCUGCCUGUCUAUUAACCUUCCCAUUUUCCAGCUCCAGCAUAUGCACAUUUAACAAUCAUUAAUAUUUUGUAAUUGGGCUAGAUUUUAGUGAGGGAAAUACUCUUGAAGAAGAAGACAGACCUGGUGUUUGUAGCUCUUAAAAAUACAGUUCUGUGUUUCUGAAGUAGAACUGCAGCACCAUGAACAGUCCAUGGUGGGAAAGAUAUUGCUGUCAAACCUGGAACUGUGAUUUACUGUGGAAACUCUAAUUCAUGUUACAGACAAUAAAAUAAUUGCAGUCGUUACCUGCUCCCGUACAAAUAUGACAAUUAUCUCCCUUAAAUGUCUUUUUAUGUCUCCUUUAUUCAUACUUUCCACAGUGAAGGUUACUUUUUAUGCUCAAAAGUCAAACAUCGCACAUUUUACUCUCUCUAGUGUGGAGACACAAUGUAGUUGGAGUCGUGGGUAUACACAUACAGUCACAACACAACCAUUUUGUAAAUACAAAUGAUCACAAUUUUGUAUAUACAACUUAAAUCACAAAAAAUAUAUGAAAUGCAUUGUUAAUAAGUGCCAAUUGUCAACUCUAUCAUUGAGAACUCUGUCCGUUACCUGAUAUGCAGUUUGCAGGGAGACACCGUGAUUGUGCUACAUUUUAUCAAUUUAGCUCAACUGUGACAGAUUAUAUGCUAAUUUACAUAUUGCUAAUUGCUUGGCAACACUGCAAAGGUUGAUUGUUCUGUGUUUGACUGUGGUACAGCUGUGUAACAGCAGGUCAGGACUGCUGUCAAGGGCACACGCACACAGAAACACCCACAAAAAACACGCAUGCACAAGUUUUUGUUGGUCUGAGGGGAGAUUAGCUUGCUCAGCAUAUAAUUACACUACGUAUGUUUCGUGUGGCUGCUUACUGUAUGAACCACACACACACAUUCUCACAGACAGAGACACAGAAUUUGCUGGAGGCAAGGAGACUUUGUCAGCUGUAGGAUGAAGUAGGCUUUCACAACUGUUUAGCUUUUAUAUUUCCAGGGUGACGUGUAACUUUGUGCCUUGUGACAGCAGAAUGUUUAACAGUUGGUCAGUCUCACUUUUACUGCAUGUUGUCUAAGUUUUUUUUCUUUUUCACCUGCUAAGUCUUAUGUUUGAAAAGGGGGCACCCUCUUUAUUUUCAUUCGAACCUCAACAUUUAUGUUUCUUCUUUCUUCCCUAAUCCCACACACAUUUAAGGGAUCAGCCUGAUAUAUGUAUAUUAUAUUGUCCUUGGAAUGUUCUAGUUGACUGGAUUCUGUUCAUUCCAUGUUCGUCAGAAAAAGAGAACUAUAAACAAUCAUUCUGCUUGUGGAUCAAAUCACUUUAUUCUUUUGCAUCAUCUGGAAAGGUUCAGCACUAUCACCACAAGGAAUGCA